UACGUAGGGUGCAAGCGUUGUCCGGAAUUAUUGGGCGUAAAGAGCUCGUAGGCGGUCUGUCGCGUCCGUUGUGAAAACUCGAGGCUCAACCUCGGGCUUGCAGUGGAUACGGGCAGACUAGAGUGCGGUAGGGGAGACUGGAAUUCCUGGUGUAGCGGUGGAAUGCGCAGAUAUCAGGAGGAACACCGAUGGCGAAGGCAGGUCUCUGGGCCGCAACUGACGCUGAGGAGCGAAAGCAUGGGGAGCGAACAGG
rnacentral:rRNA from 1 species